rnacentral:rRNA from 1 species
GGAGUCUGGUCCGUGUCUCAGUACCAGUGUGGGGGACCUUCCUCUCAGAACCCCUACUGAUCGUUGGCCAGGUGGGCCGUUACCCCGCCUGCAACCUAAUCAGACGCAUCCCCAUCCCAUAGCGGUAAACCUUUAUUCCUCAUCUGAUGUCAUCAAAAUACAACAUAGGGUAUUAAUCCGCAUUUCUACGGGCUAUCCCCUACUAUAGGGAAGGUUGGAUACGCGUUACUCACCCGUGCGCCGGUCGCCAUCGGCCUUAGCAAGCUAAGACCAUGCUGCCCCUCGACUUGCAUGUGUUAAGCCUGUAGCUAGCGUUCAUC